CAGUCGCCACGGGAAAACGUAGGGUGCGAGCGUUAAUCGGAAUUACUGGGCGUAAAGCGUGCGUAGGUGGUGGUUUAAGUCCGUUGUGAAAGCCCUGGGCUCAACCUGGGAAUUGCAGUGGAUACUGGAUCACUAGAGUGUGGUAGAGGAUAGUGGAAUUUCCGGUGUAGCAGUGAAAUGCGUAGAGAUCGGAAGGAACAUCUGUGGCGAAGGCGACUAUCUGGGCCAACACUGACACUGAGGCACGAAAGCGUGGGGAGCAAACAGGAUUAGAUACCCGUGUAGUCCCUGUCUCUUAUAC
rnacentral:rRNA from 1 species